UGUUAAGUGGAAAAGGAUGUGGCGUUGCCCAGACAACUAGGAUGUUGGCUUAGAAGCAGCCAUCAUUUAAAGAGUGCGUAAUAGCUCACUAGUCGAGUGACACUGCGCCGAAAAUGUACCGGGGCUAAACAUAUUACCGAAGCUGUGGAUUGUCCUUUGGACAAUGGUAGGAGAGCGUUCUAAGGGCGUUGAAGCAUGAUCGUAAGGACAUGUGGAGCGCUUAGAAGUGAGAAUGCCGGUGUGAGUAGCGAAAGACGGGUGAGAAUCCCGUCCACCGAUUGACUAAGGUUUCCAGAGGAAGGCUCGUCCGCUCUGGGUUAGUCGGGUCCUAA
rnacentral:rRNA from 1 species